rnacentral:lncRNA from 1 species
CUCAAUUAAGGAUGUCUGCUGGUCAUGUUUUUGAAUUCUUGUCAUAUUUUCGAUUUUCUCAGGUUUUAUCCAUACAAAUGUAUUAAAAUAUUUUUUACACGAGACCCCACUUUUGUCUUCAUAAAUCUGUUCAAUAGAUCAUUGAUGACCAUUUGAAUUUUUGUCAUGAAAUCCUUGUUAUUUUUUCUUGGUUUAAAGGAAAAAAAAAAUUCCAAUGUUAACAAAUAGUAAAGUCUGAAGAAAACCCUUUUCCCGCCAUUUUCUAAAUGUCUCGUAUUUUGAAAACUACACACGAGACUAUCGAUUUUAUUACUUCAUUUUUUUUAAAUAUCAAAGUUGUUUUCAUUUUAAGCAAUCACAUGAAAUCCUUGUUAUUUUAAAUUAGAGCAGCAGACAUCCUUAAACUGAUU